rnacentral:lncRNA from 11 species
CUCCUUGCCAUCAUUUUUGAGAAGUCUUGGAGAACAGGCAAGUUGCCAGAGGACUGGAGAAGAGCAAACAUUGUCCCUCCCCUUUGAAAAAGACAAUAGAAAAAGAUCCAAGAAAUUAAAGGCAGUCAACCUAACUCCAAUAGCAGGUCUGGAACAAUGGCAGGAUACAUCUGAAUGACGAUGGAGGACGAGAAGGG